GGGUUAAGUAGCCUAAAGUUAAGGUGCGACAUUGAAGCUGUCGAGAUAGUCGAAAUGGCUCUAACCCA
rnacentral:tRNA from 1 species